rnacentral:rRNA from 1 species
GUUGAUCUGUGGAUCGUGGCGAACGGGUGAGUAACACGUGAGCAACCUGCCCCGGACUCUGGGAUAAGCGCUGGAAACGGCGUCUAAUACUGGAUACGAGCUGCGACCGCAUGGUCAGCAGUUGGAAAGAUUUUUCGGUCUGGGAUGGGCUCACGGCCUAUCAGCUUGUUGGUGAGGUAAUGGCUCACCAAGGCGUCGACGGGUAGCCGGCCUGAGAGGGUGACCGGCCACACUGGGACUGAGACACGGCCCAGACUCCUACGGGAGGCAGCAGUGGGGAAUAUUGCACAAUGGGCGAAAGCCUGAUGCAGCAACGCCGCGUGAGGGAUGACGGCCUUCGGGUUGUAAACCUCUUUUAGCAGGGAAGAAGCGAGAGUGACGGUACCUGCAGAAAAAGCGCCGGCUAACUACGUGCCAGCAGCCGCGGUAAUACGUAGGGCGCAAGCGUUAUCCGGAAUUAUUGGGCGUAAAGAGCUCGUAGGCGGUUUGUCGCGUCUGCUGUGAAAUCCCGAGGCUCAACCUCGGGCCUGCAGUGGGUACGGGCAGACUAGAGUGCGGUAGGGGAGAUUGGAAUUCCUGGUGUAGCGGUGGAAUGCGCAGAUAUCAGGAGGAACACCGAUGGCGAAGGCAGAUCUCUGGGCCGUAACUGACGCUGAGGAGCGAAAGGGUGGGGAGCAAACAGGCUUAGAUACCCUGGUAGUCCACCCCGUAAACGUUGGGAACUAGUUGUGGGGUCCAUUCCACGGAUUCCGUGACGCAGCUAACGCAUUAAGUUCCCCGCCUGGGGGAGUACGGC